AGAACGAACGCUGGCGGCAGGCUUAACACAUGCAAGUCGAACGGGCGUAGCAAUACGUCAGUGGCAGACGGGUGAGUAACACGUGGGAACCUUCCUAGGGGUACGGAACAACUCAGGGAAACUUGAGCUAAUACCGUAUACGUCCGUGAGGAGAAAGAUUCAUCGCCCCUAGACGGGCCCGCGUCGGAUUAGGUAGUUGGUGGGGUAACGGCCUACCAAGCCUACGAUCCGUAGCUGAUCUGAGAGGAUGAUCAGCCACACUGGGACUGAGACACGGCCCAGACUCCUACGGGAGGCAGCAGUGGGGAAUCUUGGACAAUGGGCGCAAGCCUGAUCCAGCCAUGCCGCGUGAGUGAAGAAGGCCUUAGGGUUGUAAAGCUCUUUUACCAGGGACGAUAAUGACGGUACCUGGAGAAUAAGCCCCGGCAAACUUCGCGCCAGCAGCCGC
rnacentral:rRNA from 1 species